UACAGAGGUGGCAAGCGUUGUCCGGAAUCAUUGGGCGUAAAGCGCGCGUAGGCGGCCCUGUAAGUCCGUUGUGAAAGUCAAAGGCUCAACCUUUGAAAGCCGAUGGAUACUGCAGGGCUAGAGUCCGGAAGAGGCGAGUGGAAUUCCUGGUGUAGCGGUGGAAUGCGCAGAUAUCAGGAGGAACACCAAUAGCGAAGGCAGCUCGCUGGGACGGUACUGACGCUAAGGCGCGAAAGCGUGGGGGGCGAACAGG
rnacentral:rRNA from 1 species